GGCGCAUUAGCUAGUUGGUAGGGUAACGGCCUACCAAGGCGACGAUGCGUAGCCGACCUGAGAGGGCGGACGGCCACACUGGGACUGAGACACGGCCCAGACUCCUACGGGAGGCAGCAGUAGGGAAUUUUCGGCAAUGGGCGAAAGCCUGACCGAGCAACGCCGCGUGAACGAAGAAGGUCUUCGGAUCGUAAAGUUCUGUUAUCGGGGAAGAGAGGCGGAUGCAGGGAAUGGUAUCCGAGAGGACGGUACCCGAUGAGGAAGCCACGGCUAACUAC
rnacentral:rRNA from 1 species